rnacentral:rRNA from 1 species
CCUACGGGAGGCAGCAGUGGGGAAUUUUGGACAAUGGGCGCAAGCCUGAUCCAGCCAUGCCGCGUGUGGGAAGAAGGCCUUCGGGUUGUAAACCACUUUUGUCAGGGAAGAAACGGUCUGAACUAAUACUUUGGACUAAUGACGGUACCUGAAGAAUAAGCACCGGCUAACUACGUGCCAGCAGCCGCGGUAAUACGUAGGGUGCAAGCGUUAAUCGGAAUUACUGGGCGUAAAGCGUGCGCAGGCGGCUUUGCAAGACAGAUGUGAAAUCCCCGGGCUCAACCUGGGAACUGCAUUUGUGACUGCAUGGCUAGAGUACGGUAGAGGGGGAUGGAAUUCCGCGUGUAGCAGUGAAAUGCGUAGAUAUGCGGAGGAACACCGAUGGCGAAGGCAAUCCCCUGGACCUGUACUGACGCUCAUGCACGAAAGCGUGGGGAGCAAACAGGAUUAGAUACCCUGGUAGUCCACGCCCUAAACGAUGUCAACUGGUUGUUGGGAGGGUUUCUUCUCAGUAACGAAGCUAACGCGUGAAGUUGACCGCCUGGGGAGUACGGCCGCAAGGUUGAAACUCAAAUGAAUUGACGG